rnacentral:tmRNA from 1 species
GGGGGUGCCCAGGUUUCGACGUGGUAAAAUAAACGGAUAGUGCAGGUGGUCGACUUCAAUGAACGACCUUAAACUUAUUGAAAAUUUGAUAAUUGCCAAUAACAAUAAUCAUUUCCAAUCUAUCGCUCUAGCAGCGUUGUUGGCUGGGUCUUCGCUGACCUCGUUACCCAAUAGCGAAUAAGCAGGUGAUUCUGCCGACAGAUAAACAUCCAAGUUGCCAAUGCUUGUAAGGCAACGGGAAUUUAGCAAGCUAUUUGAUUAUUUAAAAAAAUAAUCUAAACCUGUGAAUGACUUGAAGUGGACAUUAUUACGGACGCGGGUUCGAUUCCCGCCACCUCCAACU